rnacentral:rRNA from 1 species
GAUGAACGCUAGCGGCAGGCUUAACACAUGCAAGUCGAGGGGUAUAGGUUUUCGGACCUAGAGACCGGCGCACGGGUGCGUAACGCGUAUGCAAUCUACCUUUCACAGAGGGAUAGCCCAGAGAAAUUUGGAUUAAUACCUCAUAGUAUAGCAGUUUCGCAUGAAACCACUAUUAAAGUUCCAACGGUGAAAGAUGAGCGUGCGUCCCAUUAGCUAGAUGGUAAGGUAACGGCUUACCAUGGCUACGAUGGGUAGGGGUCCUGAGAGGGAGAUCCCCCACACUGGUACUGAGACACGGACCAGACUCCUACGGGAGGCAGCAGUGAGGAAUAUAGGUCAAUGGACGCAAGUCUGAACCAGCCAUGCCGCGUGCAGGAUGACGGUCCUAUGGAUUGUAAACUGCUUUUGUACGAGAAGAAACAACAUUACGUGUAAUGUCUUGACGGUAUCGUAAGAAUAAGGAUCGGCUAACUCCGUGCCAGCAGCCGCCGUAA